rnacentral:sRNA from 1 species
UUUUUAGAUGUUUUUGUUACUUAGAAAAUCAAAGGUCAUCUUUGCUAAAAAUGUGUAUUCCAGUUAGAAACACAAACAUCAACAGAGUCCUGUGUUUUGAAGUCCACCUUGUCAAUGUUGUAAGCCUAUCUUAUGAGAAAAUGAGAAAAGUCAACAUCUGCCUGCAUAAAGAGCUAAUUUGCCAAAAACUAACCAGAGUUGUUCAUCUGUGCUUUUCCUGAAAAUCUGUGAAGAACAAACUUGUUCCUCUAGUCAACUGAGGGAAAUGUCAUAGCAGAAGCAAAAGGACUCUUAGAUGGGUCUUGCUAAGAUUUCUCCAUCCAGUGAGUUCAUUUCCCAGUCUCAGUACUAUAAUAUCUUGAACAAUCAGUGCCUAUUUGUAUCCUUUAGAAUAGCUUGCCUAAGAUUAUUUUUUCCCUAAGAGUAAUUUUUAAACCUAUAAGUUUAACCUAUAAUUGCUUCAGUCUUCCAGUAUAUUUUACUUUUGUGACCUUAGCUAAAAUUGAAUUUUUACACAUGCCAGUUUUCAUUUUUUGACUGGAAGGAAUUUUUGAGUUUUGUUAGUUUUGGUUUUUGUUUGCACUUCAGAGAAAUAAACUUUUUUCCUCCCAGUUUUCUAAGUGAUUGUUCACAAGAGUUGUCUUUUUAUCCAUCCAAAGGGAUGAACUCAGGAGUGCAUAGCUUCUUCAGCCCAAUGUGCUGUCAGCAAAGGGGAGUCUAAUGACGUCAUUAGGGCUGUUACUCAGAGUUUGAAGGCUUUGAUAUGGGAGUGAAAGAGUGUGGAGAAGGCAGCGAACAGAGAGAGAGAAGAGGGGAGAAAAAAGGAAAGGAAUGGAAGUAAGGGGUGGGAAAUGAUUAGCUUGGGAACCACACAGAUUGUCCUUCUCUGGAACAGAAUCUCAGUGCACUGAAAAUAUAAGCGCUGCACCAGCCUGACACCAAUUCUUUGGGUUUAAAUUGUUAUGCACUGUUCCUCUGUCAUUCUGAAAUCCUUAUUCAUAAAUUGGCUCUUCUGUUUGGUGGGGUAUCUUUUUCUGGUCAUUUGUGCUGUCUGCAUUGGGCUGUCUCUUUUAUUUACUAUCUAAAACAUUCUAGGCUCGAAGGGAAUUGAAACGCUUGAAGGAGGAGGCUAGGCGUAAGCAUGCAGUUGCUGUCAUUUGGGCUUACUGGCUUGGACUGAAGGUACGUAGAGAAUACAGGAAAUUCUUCAGAGCCAAUGCUGGAAAGAAAAUCUAUGAGUUUACACUUCAGAGAAUUGUGCAAAAAUACUUCUUGGAAAUGAAAAAUAAGAUGCCUUCCUUAUCUCCAAUAGACAAGAAUUGGCCCUCAAGACCUUACUUAUUCUUGGAUUCUACUCACAAGGAGCUAAAAAGGAUUUUCCACUUGUGGAGGUGUAAAAAAUACAGGGACCAAUUCACAGACCAGCAGAAACUUAUUUAUGAAGAGAAACUAGAAGCCAGUGAACUCUUCAAAGACAAGAAGGCUUUAUACCCAUCUAGUGUUGGGCAACCAUUCCAAGGGGCUUACCUGGAAAUCAACAAGAACCCCAAGUAUAAGAAACUCAAAGAUGCCAUUGAAGAAAAGAUCAUCAUUGCUGAAGUCGUGAACAAAAUUAACCGUGCUAAUGGGAAGAGUACAUCUCGGAUUUUCCUCUUAACAAACAAUAAUCUCCUUCUUGCUGACCAAAAGUCUGGACAAAUCAAGUCAGAGGUUCCAUUGGUGGAUGUGACCAAGGUAUCAAUGAGCUCACAAAAUGAUGGCUUCUUCGCCGUCCAUCUCAAAGAGGGCUCAGAAGCAGCGAGUAAAGGAGACUUUCUCUUCAGCAGUGAUCACCUGAUUGAAAUGGCCACCAAGCUCUAUCGCACGACUCUCAGCCAAACCAAACAGAAGCUCAAUAUUGAGAUUUCCGAUGAGUUCCUGGUACAGUUCAGACAGGACAAAGUAUGUGUGAAGUUUAUUCAGGGAAACCAGAAAAAUGGGAGUGUCCCAACAUGUAAACGAAAAAACAACCGUCUCCUUGAAGUUGCUGUCCCUUAACUGGCGCCUCCUCUCUACUUUCAUGGACUUGUUUCUUUGUAAUAGUGCAAUUUGGUUUUGUUUUAUUUGGGGUUCAU